CAUCAAAUAAUAGCAUUUAUAGUAGUAGAAUAAAUUAUGAACAUAGAAAAAUGACAACAAUAUUUGAAGAUAGUUGACAUGCCCUUGAUGUGUAGAUAUUGCGAUGUGUAGAUACAUUGAAGUGAAAUCUGACAACCAGCACACUUAAAAUUAAAAUGUCAAAAAUCAAUUAUGCUUCACUUUGCAUUCAGACAAAUUGAACUUUUCAAAAUUUACUUGAAGCACAUCUUAUGUCAAAAGACACCUACUCUAUUUUUUGAAUACUAGUAAAAAGAGAAAACAUUUUAUUUCUCAUUUGAAAAAUGAUCAUCAUACUAAAUCUUUAUCUGCCAAAAUGAGACUGAAGAAUAUCAGAAUGUCUAAAUAUUGCUGUAGUGAUUGAACUCUCUUUUACAAAGUUGACAAAGAACAAAGUUGUCUAAAUUUAAUAGUAGAAAAUUGCUGGAACAUCUGCCACACAAAGGACCCUGUGAAGAAGAAGCCUGGGAAUAUAGGUGCGAGCAGAUCAGAACGAGUUUUGUAUGACAUGGGUAAGUUUAGACUUUAUCUACUAAGCAGAGGCACAUUUGCUUGUACAUUACACCAUGAGGAGAGCAGCUAUCUCUGUCCUCACUCUUCUUGUUAGAAGAUAAGCAGAUUCUUAAAUAGGGCCACCAUCUUCAACUUUGUUAGGUAAAUGUAGCUGACACUCAUUUUGUAUUUCAGGCUUGGCUUUUUAAGUUUGAAAGGAGAAUAGCAUAUCCUCUGAGUACGGGUAUAAAAUGAUUUUGGUAGGUGAGUAGUAUAUCUGAGAUUUGUAAGGUUGGCUUUGUUGGAAUUUCUUUCAAGAUUAAUGGUAGGUAAUAUUCAAAAGCAUUUUCCCCUAGUUUGGGCAAUGCCUGCAGGAGAUUCUAUUUCAACCUAUGCAUCAGUAGACAUGUUUCAACGGACAGGGCCCUCUUUUGUUCCCUCACCUUCAUCUUUCAUCAUUCGUUCAUUCAUUUAGUGGACAGUAGUCACCGCCUAUGUGCUAAACACUGAGGAUCGUACGGAAAAGCAUGCCCAUUGAGUACAGAAGACAGAUAUAUCAAUAAAAUAAAAACGUGCUAGGAGCAGGGAAUGAAUAUACACACAGGGUGUCAUGGAGGCAGCAGAGAGGGAUAUUACAUGCAACCCGAAAAGGCAGAGUGAUAUCUGAGAAGGCUUUAUAGAGGCAGUAGGAGGUAGAAUAGAAGGUAAAAGAUGUGAGCCGAGGAUUAGAGAUGAGUAGAAAUAGUCCUGGUGAAGAGGGAGAGGAAGGAGGUUGCUAUUUCAGAGAGGAGGCUGGAGAUGUCACGCACAGGAUCUGCAAGAGCCAGGAGGGCAAGAUAUAGGUUGCAGAGAUGAACCAGGUCAGCUCACCAGCAGCCUUUGGUGCAGGCCAAGGCACUAGGAUUCCUUUCUGAGGACAAACAGGAACCAAUCUAAGGUUUUAAGCAGGUUGUAACAUGAUCAAAUUUAGAAAGAUAAUUCUGACCACAGUGAGGAGAAUGGAUUUGAAAGGAAUUAAACCAAGGGCAGGGAGGAGAUUGUUCAAUAGACCAGGUAAGAAAUGGGCCUGAACCAGCAAAACAAUGGAGCAAAUGUUUAGAAGAUAAAAUAAGCAGACCCUGAUUAAAUAUAGUGGAUAAAUAUAGUGAAUAAACUGAAAUGCAUCUAGAAGCUACCUGUUAAACAUCAGGUGGUCUAUUGGUUUGAGAAGUCACUUUUAUGCUUAAUAAUUUUCCCACUAGCUCUAGUUUUCAGAGUUUUAAGCAUUAAAGAUAUGUACAGGAAUAACAGCUUCAAAAAUCUAUUGAGCUCUCCUCUCCUUUAUGAAGCUAUAGAUGUGAGUUGUUAUGACUUAUUUUUGACUACUGACUCAUCUUUUAGUGUGGGGGUUAAACUAUAACACGGUUGGAGAGGAUUAGCCUUCUUUUCUACUGUUGCAUCUUUUUCUCUGGUACUUUAUUUCAGAGUUCCAAUGCCAUUUUUCAUAAGCAAUCUAGGUUUCAAAUUACCCUUGCCAGGUUUUUGUACAGGGAAUAUUAGCUUCUUAACAAAAUUAUCUUAAACAAUAAAUGUUUAUCAAGUCUAGAGU
rnacentral:lncRNA from 10 species